AUACGGAGGGUGCAAGCGUUACUCGGAAUCACUGGGCGUAAAGCGCAUGCAGGCGGUCUAAUAAGUUGGAAGUGAAAGCCUAUGGCUCAACCAUAGAACUGCUUCCAAAACUGUUAGACUAGAGUCUGGGAGGGGAAGAUGGAAUUAGUAGUGUAGGGGUAAAAUCCGUAGAGAUUACUAGGAAUACCAAAAGCGAAGGCGAUCUUCUGGAACAGUUCUGACGCUGAGAUGCGAAAGCGUGGGGAGCAAACAGGAUUAGAAACCCUUGUAGUCC
rnacentral:rRNA from 1 species